UAUUAUUGCUGUUGUUAUUGUGGUAGCCAUGUUUAAAUAUCUGAAAGGAUACCACACUGAAAAGGGAACAAGCUUGUUUUCUGCUGCUCUGGAGACUAGGACACAAUGGUGCAAUGGGUUCAAAUGGCAGGAAAAGAGAUUCCAACCAGUGGUUCCCAACCUUUGAGCUUCCGAGUGUUUUGGACUUCAAUUCCCAGAAAUCCCAGCCAUCUUACCAGCUGUUAGGAAUUGUGGGAGUUGAAGUCCAAAACAACUCCAGUGAUCCCCUAGCAUUGAGACAGGACAGUAAAAGCCAGGUGUCACUCAUUCAAACUACACUCAUUCUACAGUGUAGAAAGGCACCUGAAGCUCUGAUGUGAAGGAAGGGGCAGAUAAUUAGCACACUCUUCCCUCCUUUCUAUAUACAGUAGAGUCUCACUUAUCCAACACUCGCUUAUCCAACGUUCUGGAUUAUCCAACGCAUUUUUGUAGACAAUGUUUUCAAUAUAUCGUGAUAUUUUGGUGCUAAAUUCAUAAAUACAGUAAUUAUUACAUAGCAUUACUGCGUAUUGAACUACAUUUUCUACCAAAUUUGUUGUCUAACAUGAUGUUUUGGUGCUUCAUUUGUAAAAUCAUAACCUAAUUUGAUGUUUAAUAGGCUUUUCCUUAAUGCCUCCUUAUUAUCCACCAUAUCAUCCAACAUUCUGCCAGCCCGUUUAUGUUGGCUAAGUGAGACUCUACUGUAUAUAUUUAGGCUUUCUCUCUCUCUCUGCAGCCCCACCCUGCCUUUCCACGAGGCCCAUUCUGCUCAUCUCCGAGGAGAACCGGAUCUGGGGCGAAUCUGGAGCCUCUCCUUGCAAAAGUUUUCCACCCAGAGGGCAGAGCUGGCUGGUGAAGCCCUUUGCUGCGCAUCUCUAUCGGUUGUUGGUCUUGCAGCUGGAGCUUUGGAGGGAUUCUCCCAAGAAAGGAGGGUGCCAAGGAAUGAAGUCAUGGUUGUUAUCAGGAUCAACGGUUGGCUCCUUUUGCUAGGGCAAGGCACAGAGGCCACUCCCUCGCUGUGUGAUCUCCUUGAAGCUGGCUAUACCUGA
rnacentral:lncRNA from 11 species